GACGAACGCUGGCGGCGUGCUUAACACAUGCAAGUGGUGCGACGAACCAGGGCUUGCCCUGGGGCCAAGCCGCGAACGGGUGAGUAACACGUGAGUAACCUGCCCCGAUGACCGGGACAACCCGACGGAAACUACGGGCUAAUACCGGAUGAUGUGCGCGAACAUGAGUUUGCGUACUAAGGAAGCUUCGGCCUCCGCAUUGGGAGGGGCGUCGCGGCCCAUUAGCUUGUUGGUGGGGUAANGGCCCACCAAGGCAACGAUGGGUAGCUGGUUCGAGAGGAUGACCAGCCACACUGGGACUGAGAUACGGCCCAGACUCCUACGGGAGGCAGCAGUAAGGAAUCUUCCACAAUGGACGAAAGUCUGAUGGAGCAAUGCCGCGUGCAGGAUGACGG
rnacentral:rRNA from 1 species